rnacentral:rRNA from 1 species
CGGGAGCCAGCAGUCGGGAAUCUCGCACAAUGGGCGAAAGCCUGAUGCAGCAACACCGUGUGAGCGAUGAAGGCCUUAGGGUCGUAAAGCUCUGUUUGCGAGGACGAAGGGCGAAGGGUUAAUAGCCCUUAGCCUGACGGUACUUGUACAGAAAGCCCCGGCUAACUACGACCCAACACACCAGGUAAUACGUAGGGGGCGAGCGUUGUCCGGAAUUAUUGGGCGUAAAGAGCGUGUAGGCGGCUUGGUAAGUCUGCUGUGAAACCUUGGGGCUCAACCCCAAGCGUGCAGUGGAUACUGUCAAGCUAGAGGAUGGUAGAGGCCAGUGGAAUUCCCAGUGUAGCGGUGAAAUGCGCAGAUAUUGGGAGGAACACCAGUAGCGAAGGCGGCUGGCUGGGCCAUUCCUGACGCUGAGACGCGAAAGCUAGGGGAGCGAACAGGAUUAGAUACCCUGGUAGUCCUAGCCGUAAACGAUGAACACUAGGUGUGGGGGGAGUCGAAUCCCUCUGUGCCGAAGCUAACGCGUUAAGUGUUCCGCCUGGGGAGUACGGCCGCAAGGCUA